rnacentral:misc_RNA from 1 species
GCAAACUUGGUCAUUUAGAGGAAGUAAAAGUCGUAACAAGGUUUCCGUAGGUGAACCUGCGGAAGGAUCAUUAUUGAGUUUUAUAAGGAGAGAGAUUUGCCUUUUGGCAUCUCUCCUUUUUCUCUCUUUUUCACCCUUUUGUCAUCAUUUUUCUCAGUUGCUUUGGCAGGUGGUUGCUCUCCUGCCAAGGGAUUUUUCUAAACACAUUUUUGUUAUCCAAUAAUCGGGAUAUCUCUCGUCUGAUUUCUUAUGACUUUUGAAUAAGUACAUAAAACUUUCAACAACGGAUCUCUUGGUUCUGGCAUCGAUGAAGAACGCAGC